rnacentral:rRNA from 1 species
GACGAACGCUGGCGGCGUGCUUAACACAUGCAAGUCGAACGGAAAGGCCCUGCUUGCAGGGUACUCGAGUGGCGAACGGGUGAGUAACACGUGGGUGAUCUGCCCUGCACUUCGGGAUAAGCCUGGGAAACUGGGUCUAAUACCGGAUAGAAGCCAUUUUUAGUGUGAUGGUUGGAAAGUUUUUUCGGUGUAGGAUGAGCUCGCGGCCUAUCAGCUUGUUGGUGGGGUAAUGGCCUACCAAGGCGGCGACGGGUAGCCGGCCUGAGAGGGUGGACGGCCACAUUGGGACUGAGAUACGGCCCAGACUCCUACGGGAGGCAGCAGUGGGGAAUAUUGCACAAUGGGCGCAAGCCUGAUGCAGCGACGCCGCGUGGGGGAUGACGGCCUUCGGGUUGUAAACUCCUUUCGCUAGGGACGAAGCUUUUGUGACGGUACCUAGAUAAGAAGCACCGGCUAACUACGUG